rnacentral:tRNA from 1 species
GACUCCGUAGCUCAGUUGGUAGAGCAGCUGACUCUUAAUCAUCGGGUCCCGAGUUCGAGUCUCGGCGGGGUCA